UAUAAUUUAACACAACAUGGUAAAUUAACUACAUACUCUGAUAAAAUAAAAUCACAACGCUGUAAAUCUUCUAUCUAUACCUUAUUCAUAGGGCUUUCUGGUGACUGGCCUGGUUUGAGUAAUCUCAUUAGCAUAACAAAUACACACCCAUCCUUUAGAAUUUAUGGAUGAUUCUGAAAUGCUAUUAGCAGUUGUGAAAACAUCUGCAUAUAUUCUUUAUUAUUAACACUAAAGAUACAUUGUCAUCUGGAGCUCACUGUUGACUGACUUUGCAGGGCAGACAGCUGGAGGCAGAAGCUGUCUUCCCGGGGUGCCUCCAUGACAUGUGGCAGCCGGAAGCAGCCAGAGGCAGGCCGGGGCCCAGGGUCAGAGUCAGCAGAGGGUCCCGACUCCUCAUCUGCUCAGGUACAGGCCUCUCCCCACCGCCUCCUCCGGCCCAGCUCCCUGGCAGACCCUCAUGCCUCUCUCUCCUGCAGCUCUCCUCCUGCUGUUCCCAUGCCUGCAAGGCUGGCCUCACACCUCCAAAGGCGAGGUGCUGGUCGUGAGAAAGGAGCGCUGGCGGCUCUGCGGCAGCCUGGCGCUGGACCCCAAGGACCGGAAGUGGAGCUGCUGCAGAGGCUUCUACCCUUUCCACCGGCCAUGCAGAGGUGCUGCCAAACCUGGGGGAAGUUCAUGGUCAGCCCCAUGGACCCGGAAAAGUCAAAGGCUGAAGACUGCAGUAUGUAUACCCAGAAAGCUCUAGGGCAGCCCGUCCACCUGCCUUCUGAGUCACACUUGGGGAGGGAGGCAAAAACCUUGGAACCAACUCAAUGCUUCUUCGAGUGUGACUCACCACGCCCAGGAUCUUAGGUCUCACUCUGAAAGAUCACCCCAG
rnacentral:lncRNA from 1 species